UGGGGAAUAUUGGACAAUGCGGGAAACCGUGAUCCAGCAAUGCCGCGUGAGUGAUGAAGGCCUUAGGGUUGUAAAGCUCUUUUACCAGGGAUGAUAAUGACAGUACCUGGAGAAUAAGCUCCGGCUAACUCCGUGCCAGCAGCCGCGGUAAUGCGGAGGGAGCUAGCGUUGUUCGGAAUUACUGGGCGUAAAGCGCGCGUAGGCGGCUAUUCAAGUCAGGGGUGAAAUCCCGGGGCUCAACCCCGGAACUGCCCUUGAAACUAGGUAGCUAGAAUACUGGAGAGGUGAGUGGAAUUCCUAGUGUAGCGGUGAAAUGCGUAGAGAUUAGGAAGAACACCGGUGGCGAAAGCGCUCUGCUAGGCCGCAACUGACACUGAGGGACGAAAGCUAGGGGAGCGAAUGGGAUUAGAUACCCGGGUAGUCC
rnacentral:rRNA from 1 species